rnacentral:lncRNA from 1 species
AGCUGUUACGGGGGGGGGGGGAAGGACACACUCCACACAGGCACACAAUGGCACCUUCCAGAACGUUCCACCGCGGCCCACCACGGGGAGCCAGGACACCCUCACGGCGCGUUCGCACCUUCCGUAGCGGCCCACCGCAAACCACGGGGCGGGCGACGAUGCGGGGCCACAGCACCGCCUUGCGGCCUCCUGUGGGCGCCUCCGGAGCGUCCCACCUCUGCGGGGUCCGCCAUGCUGGGCCAGCGUGCAGGUGUCGCUCCUCUGGCCUGUGGUACAUUCCGGAACGUUCCACCGAGACCAAGGUGAAGGAGCCAAUCCUCUGAGGCCGCGAAGGUGCCGCCCUCUAGGUCAGACCCAGGGGCUUGAUUUCAAGGAUCCUAAAAUCUGACCAGAAAGUCACAAGACGAGAAGCGCUCAGUGGCGAACGUGCGAGGAACCCCCGUGCUCUCCGAGUCUUGGACGCUGCCGGGAUGGGGGCGGGGUCAGCACCAUGGGGGCGGGGCCAGCAGCAUAGCGACGGGGCGCUCAUUGGUCGAGCCUCAGAGGCCCCGCCUUCCUGCAGGACGCUUGCUCUGUCGCCUGAUCUCCCCAAGUAGCCGCCGGCUGUGAGAUGCUUCCUGGCCCCUUUUAUCCCUGAAGGUCAUUUUGUGGAGAGGUUUGAGGUUGUGCCUUGCCUCAGCUCUGCUUUUGGUGAAACCUUCCUUUGUUUUUUUCUUGGUUGUUUGAAAACUAGUAAGGUUUCUCCUUCAGAUCUCGCACAGUGAGUUGGAGCUUCUUAAACCUUUUCCACUAGAAAACCCUUUCCAUAUGCAAAUCAAACGUUUACUGAUAAUCAACCUUAAGUCUAUCUUAAAACAAUUCUUUGCCCGGUGCCGGAGACCAGCCUGGUCCACUUAGUGAGUUCCUGGACAACCAGGUCUAUGUAGAGAGACCCUGUCUCAGCAAACAAAAAACAAGUCUUUAGAACACAAUGGCACAGUGCAGUUUUACCACUUAAAAGCAAAGGCAAACUGGCUUACGAAUGAGAAGAUGUGCUUUUUAAAUUUUCGCACAGAUCAUUAAAUCUUGACUGAAUAUCCCAUACCACUGGACAUAGAGUAUCUUCAGCAUUUUUCAGAGUUGAUGUUUUGAUUUUAUCAAAACCAAAGUGUGUUUGAUUUUGUUGAAUUGACGUAUGUUUUAGAACCGUAUCAGUUGGAAAUUCUGUCCUAACCACAAGCCAAGUUUUAACGAUUUUUAAAAAUGAAACUCAACUCAGAAACUUACGCAAGAAUUUUGUUGUUGUUGGGUUCUUUCCUUUGUUUGUUUUUGUCUUUUAAGAUAGUGUCUCACUGAGCCGGCAUGGUGGCACACACCUUUAAUCCCAGCACUCAGGAGGCAGAGGCAGGGGAAUUUCUGAGUUCGAGGCCAGCCUGGUCUACAAAGUGAGUUCUAGGACAGCCAGAGCUACACAGAGAAACCCUGUCUCGAAAAAAAAAAAAAAAAAAAAAAAGAUAGUGUCUCACUAUGUACCCCUGUCUGGCCUGGAACUCACUGUGUACAUCAGGCUAGUCUUGAACUCACAGAAAUAGACAUCUCUGCCUCUCACACUCUGGAAUUAUGCGCACCUAUGUAAGCAUUUUUUAAUUGAGUUGUUUUAUUUGGUCAUUGUUGUUUUGUAUUUGUUUUGUUUUGAGACAGGGCUGGUGUAUCCCUGGCUGGCUUCGGAUUUGAUGUACAGCCAGGGCUGACCCUGACCUUGCUCUUACCCCACAGUGCUCAGAUGACAAGCAUGUGUUACUAUGCCUGGUUCAACUAGUAAUUUUUUUAAAUUUAAUUAUUUAUUAUGUGUAAGUACACUGUAGCUGUCUUCAGACACCCCAGAAGAGGGCAUCAGAUCUCAUUUUGGAUGGGUGUGAACUACCAUGUGGUUGCUGGGAUUUGAACUCGGUACCUUCAGAAUAGCAGUCAGUGCUCUUAACCACUGAGUCAUCUCUCCAGCCCUCAACUAGUAAUUUUUAAAGUGAUCCUGACAAUACAAUCCUAAAACCUACUAAUAAGCAGUAGGAAAAUAUCAAGAGUCCUUGCUUUCUAUAAUUAAAACAUUGUGCUUCUAAAAGCAAAAAAACAUAUGUACGCUAGGAAACACUGCUGCUCAUAAAUUGGUGUUCUCUUAUGGGAGCUGAGGUGUUCUUGCAGCAAUGAUUGGUUGGUGUUAUUUGGUAUGACUUCAUGCACAAUGUAAAGUGUGCCAGUUUCUGUAAAAAAAAAAAAAAAAAAGGAUUCAGGGAGCUUGUACAAUAAAAACAUAGGUGAGCUCUCCGUUCAUUACACAUUUGAUUUUGAAUUAAUUAAUUUUAGCCAUGCCUGUGGAUAAACCUCUUACUGUUGUUAGACAGUAAAAUCUUAGUCAUUUGAGUCUACCAAUGAAGACUCAGGAACCAGAUGCCUGCCGGCUCAGAAUCAGAGAAAGCACCCAGUUGCCUUCUGCCUCAAGGCUGUUUCCCACCAACAAUACCCCUCUCUCAAUAAACCUUCUUCAAACUGAA